CAAAGCUUAAAUGGCUCCCUGACCUGACUUAAAAAUAGGAUGGCAAUACAUCAAACAAGAAGACUAUAAGUAUUGAGAUGGACCAAGUGAAACCUGAGCCUACCAAAGCUGACAGAUUGCGCAAGAAACACAUUGGAAGAUUCAUUUUCUGGAAAGUAGAAAAGGGCUGUUACAUACUGUUAUCACAGCCAUGACAGAAACCAUAUUGAGGAGCUUGUCUGCCUGUAGGAAGAAAUGCGCUACUGGUUGGAGCAGCACUAUUCCCUGGCCAUACACCAGCACUUUGUUUGUCAUAGAGAGCAUUUCUGAGCAGUUAUGGAGACCACUAACUAUGCAGGUGUCACAGUGAAAUUUGCACCAGUUUGUUUUCUGUGGAGACAAAGAGAUAGUGUCCAGCAAUGCAAACCCAACUCAAGAUCUAACCUUGUUAUGCCAAUAUAAAAUAACUGUGUGGGAAAAUGGGAAAAACCUGCAGUCAGGAAUGCACGUAAAUCAUCAAAAGAACAGUGUGAAAUUAAUCAUGAAUAACUUGACAUUUAUUUUGUUUGACAUAUUUAUUCAUGGUGCAGUGAAAACAUGCUUAUUUUCUCAUGGUUAUUUUAAUUUAGA